GAGUUUGAUCCUGGCUCAGAUUGAACGCUGGCGGCAGGCCUAACACAUGCAAGUCGAACGGUAACAGAAAGCAGCUUGCUGCUUUGCUGACGAGUGGCGGACGGGUGAGUAAUGUCUGGGAAACUGCCUGAUGGAGGGGGAUAACUACUGGAAACGGUAGCUAAUACCGCAUAACGUCGCAAGACCAAAGAGGGGGACCUUCGGGCCUCUUGCCAUCGGAUGUGCCCAGAUGGGAUUAGCUUGUUGGUGGGGUAACGGCUCACCAAGGCGACGAUCUCUAGCUGGUCUGAGAGGAUGACCAGCCACACUGGAACUGAGACACGGUCCAGACUCCUACGGGAGGCAGCAGUGGGGAAUAUUGCACAAUGGGCGCAAGCCUGAUGCAGCCAUGCCGCGUGUAUGAAGAAGGCCUUCGGGUUGUAAAGUACUUUCAGCGGGGAGGAAGGGAGUAAAGUUAAUACCUUUGCUCAUUGACGUUACCCGCAGAAGAAGCACCGGCUAACUCCGUGCCAGCAGCCGCGGUAAUACGGAGGGUGCAAGCGUUAAUC
rnacentral:rRNA from 1 species